rnacentral:rRNA from 1 species
GAUGAACGCUGGCGGCGUGCCUAAUACAUGCAAGUCGAGCGAACAGACGAGGAGCUUGCUCCUCUGACGUUAGCGGCGGACGUGUGAGUAACACGUGGAUAACCUACCUAUAAGACUGGGAUAACUUCGGGAAACCGGAGCUAAUACCGGAUAAUAUAUUGAACCGCAUGGUUCAAUAGUGAAAGACGGUUUUGCUGUCACUUAUAGAUGGAUCCGCGCCGCAUUAGCUAGUUGGUAAGGUAACGGCUUUCCAAGGGUACGAUGCGUAGCCGACCUGAGAGGGUGAUCGGCCACACUGGAACGUGGACACGGUCCAGACUCCUGCGGGAGGCAGCAGUAGGGAAUCUUCCGCAAUGGGCGAAAGCCUGACGGAGCAACGCCGCGUGAGUGAUAAAGGUCUUCGGAUCGUAAAACUCUGUUAUUAGGGAAGAACAAAUGUGUAAGUAACUAUGCACGUCUUGACGGUACCUAAUCAGAAAGCAACGGCUAACUACGUG